CUGUCUCCUGGAGUUCCUCUGAACGCUUCAUAAGGACUAACUAGUGUAGACCUUAUUAUAUAUAUAUAUCCCUUUCUUUCUCUCUUCAAUGAAGUGUUUGGGGGAACUCUUGGGCUCAA
rnacentral:pre_miRNA from 1 species